ensembl:snRNA U6 U6 spliceosomal RNA
UUGCUUCAGCAGUACAUAUACUAAAAUUGGAAGGAUACAGAGAGGAUUAGCAUGGCUCCUUCACAAGGAUGACAUGCAAAUUUGUGAAGCAUUCCAUAUUUUA